AAAGCGGCGGACGGGUGAGUAACGCGUGGGUAACCUGCCUUGUACAGAGGGAUAGCCACUGGAAACGGUGAUUAAUACCUCAUAAAACUACAGCAUCGCAUGGUGCAGUAGUCAAAAUUCAGGUGGUACAAGAUGGACCCGCGUCUGAUUAGCUAGUUGGUGGGGUAGCGGCCUACCAAGGCGACGAUCAGUAGCCGACCUGAGAGGGUGAUCGGCCACACUGGAACUGAGACACGGUCCAGACUCCUACGGGAGGCAGCAGUGGGGAAUAUUGCACAAUGGGCGAAAGCCUGAUGCAGCAACGCCGCGUGAGUGAAGAAGGCUUUCGGGUCGUAAAACUCUGUCCUAAGGGAAGAAUAAUGACGGUACCUUAGGAGGAAGCCCCGGCUAACUACGUGCCAGCAGCCGCGGUAAUACGGAGGGUGCAAGCGUUAAUCGGAAUUACUGGGCGUAAAGCGCGCGUAGGUGGCUUGAUAAGCCGGUUGUGAAAGCCCCGGGCUCAGCCUGGGAACGGCAUCCGGAACUGUCAAGCUAGAGUGCAGGAGAGGAAGGUAGAAUUCCCGGUGUAGCGGUGAAAUGCGUAGAGAUCGGGAGGAAUACCAGUGGCGAAGGCGGCCUUCUGGACUGACACUGACACUGAGGUGCGAAAGCGUGGGUAGCAAACAGGAUUAGAUACCCUGGUAGUCCACGCCGUAAACGAUGUCGACCAGCCGUUGGGUGCCUAGCGCACUUUGUGGCGAAGUUAACGCGAUAAGUCGACCGCCUGGGGAGUACGGCCGCAAGGUUAAAACUCAAUGAA
rnacentral:rRNA from 1 species